UACAGAGGUCUCGAGCGUUAGGCGGAAUCACUGGGCUUAAAGCGUGUGUAGGUGGAUCGUUAAGUACCUUGUGAAAUCCCACGGCUUAACCGUGGAACUGCUUGGUAUACUGGCGGUCUUGAGCCAGCUAGGGGCUACCGGAACAAAUGGUGGAGCGGUGAAAUGCGCAGAUAUCAGGAGGAACACCAAUGGCGAAGGCAGCUCGCUGGGACGUGACUGACGCUGAGACGCGAAAGCGUGGGGAGCAAACAGG
rnacentral:rRNA from 1 species